GUUUAAACCUUUGGGGACAUGCACAUGUACUAAAAUUGGAAUAAUACAGAGAAGAUUAGCAUGGGCCCUGCACAAGGAUGACACGCAUAUUUGUGAAGUGUUCCAUAUUUUU